rnacentral:tRNA from 1 species
UGCCCGGUAGUGUAAUUGGUAGCACACGAGAAUUUGGGUCUCGCUGUUCUGGUUCGAGUCCAGACCGGGCAG